rnacentral:pre_miRNA from 1 species
GAACUACUCCCUCCGUUCGGAAUUACUUGUCUUGAAAAUGGAUGUAUCUAGAACUAAAAUACAUCUAGAUACAUCCAUUUUUGCGACAAGUAAUUUCGAACGGAGGGAGUAGUUC